GACGAACGCUGGCGGCGUGCCUAAUACAUGCAAGUAGGACGCAGUUGCGAACGGGUGAGUAACGAGUAGGUAACUACCUAUUAGAGGGGGAUAAAUAUUGGAAACGAUAGCUAAUACCGCAUACUAGUAGGUGGACCUGCGUUGUAUUAGCUAGUAGGUAGGGUAAUGGCCUACCAAGGCAACGAUCCAUAGCCGACCUUAGGAGGUGGACGGCCACACUGGGACGGAGGCACGGGCCAGACGCCUACGGGUGGCAACAGGAGGGAAGCUUCGGCAAUGGGGGGAACCCUGACCGAGCAACUCCGCGUGAGUGAAGAAGGUUUUCGGGUCGUAAAGCUCUGUUGUUAAGGGAGCGGUCCUUACCCAGAAAGGGACGGCUAACUACGUGCCAGCAGCCGCGGUAAUAC
rnacentral:rRNA from 1 species